UUUAUUUUUUUACAGGUGUGAAGCGUGAUGGAAUAGUACUUUCAUUCGACUUCAUGAACUGAAAUGUGUCGCGCAUUAUGAAAUAAAUCUGGCCAAUCACAUUUCUCCCAGUCAUUGGAACAUGUCUGUACUGACAGAUUUUGAGGGUGCCCCUCUUCAGCUAGGAGGAAUUGAUUGGGGGGUAUUCAUGUUGAUAGUAGGUGGUU